GAGGAAUACAAGAAGAAUAGUAUCAAAACAUACAAGUGGUGAAAUUAGAAAUUUGAAAGCCUUCAAAGGAAUUAAACUGAUAGUGGCUGCUCGAUUUUCCCAGCUAAAACUGCAGUGGAAAAUACCCGGAAACCGUGGAAUACUUUGGGAAACAUCGUCAGCUCUUCGCAUCAACAAGCAGUACCGGCCGAGAUGGAAGGAAAUCAACGCAGAACGAGUCAACAGGUGAGUUUACGUAUCGUGUUUAAUAAGGAUGGUAAUUUUUGGUGUUUUUUUUUUCGUUUUUUUUUUCUUAGGUACCUGGUUUCAAGUCGGCAGACGAGAAGACACCGAUGGACUUCCCGGAUGCAUCGGCCAACUCGUAGGAGCUUGUUCCGAGUCGAGCAAGGACCGUGCAAGGAGUGUAACAGGGGCCCAGUUUGGCGUUAUACCUCUCGACGGCUGAUGAUUGGCGAAAAUUUCGCUUAAAGACUUGCUGGCCAACUUCAUAAAUCGGUGCAGCUGUU